AGAGUUUGAUCCUGGCUCAGGAUGAACGCUGGCGGCAUGCCUAAUACAUGCAAGUCGAACGAAGUUUCGAGGAAGCUUGCUUCCAAAGAGACUUAGUGGCGAACGGGUGAGUAACACGUAGGUAACCUGCCCAUGUGUCCGGGAUAACUGCUGGAAACGGUAGCUAAAACCGGAUAGGUAUACAGAGCGCAUGCUCAGUAUAUUAAAGCGCCCAUCAAGGCGUGAACAUGGAUGGACCUGCGGCGCAUUAGCUAGUUGGUGAGGUAACGGCCCACCAAGGCGAUGAUGCGUAGCCGGCCUGAGAGGGUAAACGGCCACAUUGGGACUGAGACACGGCCCAAACUCCUACGGGAGGCAGCAGUAGGGAAUUUUCGUCAAUGGGGGAAACCCUGAACGAGCAAUGCCGCGUGAGUGAAGAAGGUCUUCGGAUCGUAAAGCUCUGUUGUAAGUGAAGAACGGCUCAUAGAGGAAAUGCUAUGGGAGUGACGGUAGCUUACCAGAAAGCCACGGCUAACUACGUGCCAGCAGCCGCGGUAAUACGUAGGUGGCAAGCGUUAUCCGGAAUUAUUGGGCGUAAAGAGGGAGCAGGCGGCAGCAAGGGUCUGUGGUGAAAGCCUGAAGCUUAACUUCAGUAAGCCAUAGAAACCAGGCAGCUAGAGUGCAGGAGAGGAUCGUGGAAUUCCAUGUGUAGCGGUGAAAUGCGUAGAUAUAUGGAGGAACACCAGUGGCGAAGGCGACGGUCUGGCCUGUAACUGACGCUCAUUCCCGAAAGCGUGGGGAGCAAAUAGGAUUAGAUACCCUAGUAGUCCACGCCGUAAACGAUGAGAACUAAGUGUUGGAGGAAUUCAGUGCUGCAGUUAACGCAAUAAGUUCUCCGCCUGGGGAGUAUGCACGCAAGUGUGAAACUCAAAGGAAUUGACGGGGGCCCGCACAAGCGGUGGAGUAUGUGGUUUAAUUCGAAGCAACGCGAAGAACCUUACCAGGGCUUGACAUCCCACUAACGAAGCAGAGAUGCAUUAGGUGCCCUUCGGGGAAAGUGGAGACAGGUGGUGCAUGGUUGUCGUCAGCUCGUGUCGUGAGAUGUUGGGUUAAGUCCCGCAACGAGCGCAACCCUUGUCGCAUGUUACCAGCAUCAAGUUGGGGACUCAUGCGAGACUGCCGGUGACAAACCGGAGGAAGGUGGGGAUGACGUCAAAUCAUCAUGCCCCUUAUGACCUGGGCUACACACGUGCUACA
rnacentral:rRNA from 1 species